rnacentral:tRNA from 1 species
GGGGGUAUAGCUCAAGUGGUAAAGUGCAUGCUUAACAUGCAUGAGGUCCUGGGUUAGAUUUCCAGUACAUCCU